AGGCUGUCUGUUGCUGUUGCACAAUCAAAUUAGCCUCCGAGUUGCACCGAUAAGAAACUGGACCAGAUAACCACAGAAGCUUUUUGUGACCAUUCAGUUGUGCACGUUAGUUGGCCGGUACAUAAAUGAUUUGAAGCAUCUUCAGCACAGGUUCCACUCGAGGUUUUAACCAGGGAUCUAAAAGGGAAACAAUAGCAGCAACAAAACAAAAAAAAGCUGAGAUGGGGUUGGCAGUAUGCUUGCUGGCACUUGUCCUCACCUGGACAGGAAUGGCUGUAAAAGUUGUUCCACCAUGUGACCACCACAUGUUUGACAGUAAUGUUGACAACUGCCUGUCAGAGUUCAACAGCAGCAUGGAGACAAACAGCUAUCAGGACAGGUGCCCAUGGCCUACUGUAAAACGCAUCUACAACAAACUGAAGCUUUGUGUGGACAACUGGGCGAAUUUGUCUUGGUGUAGGGGUCAUAGGUUUCUGGUAGACAAGGUCUUCUUGGAUGUCCAUGAGACGUACUUUUCACUGUGUGGACAGGUCCACGACCCCCCACUCCAUACUCUUAUCAUGUUGAUAGCACCUGUUAUAAUUGUCACACUCUUAAUGACUCUUUUGUGUUCUUAUCUCACCAACUGGAACAUAGAGAUGCCGGGCACUUUGGGGCUCUGAUGUGCUGAGCUGACCAAGACAUGGUUCUGGGGGAUCAUGCUAAUUUUGCACUUGCUACCUCCAGAAGGCCUACAAAGAAAAUCCAAACAUUUGUUGACUAAAUCAUCGUGAUAAUCAUAAAUCUUUUCAGAUAAACCUUAAUUUUUACAUAAAACAUUUUCACGUCUUUGAGUCUGAAGAAAAGUAAUCAUCAAAAGUAGCCCCCAGGAUUAGCCACCCUGUUGGCUGACCAAAUUGCUUCAGAUUGCUUUUUGUCUGUGCUAGCUGGUUUGUUUGCAUGUGAAAGGCUGUAUAUUAUUCAAUUUAGUGUGUGGUUAUUGUUUGAGCAGUAGUAUCACAUUACAAAUACACACAAUGACUAGUUUGGUUAGCAAGUUACCCUAGAAAGUAGAUCCCCAUGAAUUUAGCAACAAUAGCUAAUCCAGGGGGCUAAUUUCUGUAUAUGCUUUCAGUCUCAUAAACAAGCAUUUGAAAUAUUUCAUUUAAAACUUUAAAGUUAUUUAAAAGUUUAUUUGUAAAGCUGUUUGACCCUUGAGCUGCGUGGCUGGCUGUUUUAAGCAAUCUCUACGGAGGUGGUGAGUGUGAACUUGGCGUGACCCACGGUCAGAACAGCCACAAUUAUGAAAAUAUGUUAAAAAAACCACUGCAAUUUUCCUUUAAAUAUAUGCAUCCACACAUAUACAGAAAGAGUCCAACAUAUAACACUCCACUUAUCAAAGUAUCGAUUUACGGGCAAUAUUUUCCAUCAUUCAAUAUGUUCAUAUCCUUUCCUUUUCAAAUGAAGACAUGAAUUGUUGAAUAUCAAAGGUGCACUAUGACUUUUACGGAAAGUGUCAAGCCAUUUAUUGUUGUAGUAGUGUUUUCUCCUCCAAUGUCAAAUGUGAAAUGUUCUGUAUCUCUCUAUAGAGUGCUGCAGGAAUGAAUCCUAAAAACCUGAAAUUAGUUAGCACCCGAAGCCUAUGAAUUAUUUAAUGGGUUUUUGGUUAGAUGACUGAAAUAAGGUCAAGACAUUUUCAUGUUUUAUUCUAUGACGUGAAAUACAGUAAAUCGGUAAAUCCCCCAGUCGUUGAAGUCAUGUGACCGUGGUGUGGUUAGUUAUAGCCUAAAAUUUGCUUUUUACUUCUGGCGAUUGUAUUUAUGCUCUAAAAAUCAUAAAUGUGGUAUUCAUUUGUUUUUAUCUUACUGAACAAAACAUGUAAGUAUCAUACACUUUUUUUGUCACAGAGCUGAUUUUCUGCUGUAAUUCAAAAGCCAAUGUAAAAAUGUCAUCAGUGUUUUGUCAAGGGAAGCAGGGAAAUGCUAACCUCCAGGUUGGGCUUCAAAAAUACGUCAUCCCUGCAGCAGCACUAUGGCUGGGUGUGUCAUGAGGUUUUGUAAAUCAUAUCAUUUAUUCUGUAGACAUAGAAAAUUAUACUUGUCUGUCUGACUACUUUUCUGUGAAUAUCUGAAUUUUCUGGAACUCAUGAUUUUGUUUUAUGUGGUUAACCUCACCCAUUUGGCACUUAUGGUAAGUAGGCAAAAACAAAACCUUAAUGAUUUAACACAUUCAUUUCACUUCAAAGUGUGAUAGGCUACCUAAAACAUUUGUAUAGGAUUGUAAUUUUUUAAGCUGACAAAAGAGAAGGAUUCUGUUUGUAUUUGAAACACAUAAUAAAUAUUUAUUUCAGACAAAAAAAUAA